UACGGGGGGAGCAAGCGUUGUUCGGAUUUACUGGGCGUAAAGGGCGCGUAGGCGGUCGUGACAAGUCACUUGUGAAAUCUCCGGGCUUAACUCGGUGAACGGUCAAGUGAUACUGUCGGACUAGAGUACAGAAGGGGCAACUGGAAUUCUCGGUGUAGCGGUGAAAUGCGUAGAUAUCGAGAGGAACACCUGCGGCGAAGGCGGGUUGCUGGGCUGAUACUGACGCUGAGGAGCGAAAGCGUGGGGAGCGAACAGG
rnacentral:rRNA from 1 species